ACUCAAAGGAAUAGACGGGGGCCCGCACAAGCGGUGGAGCAUGUGGUUCAAUUCGAUGCUACGCGAAAAACCUUACCUAGGUUUGACAUCCCACGCUACUCGGUGAAAGCCGGGGUUCCCUUCGGGGACGUGGAGACAGGUGCUGCAUGGCUGUCGUCAGCUCGUGUUGUGAGAUGUUGGGUUAAGUCCCGCAACGAGCGCAACCCUCGGUAUUAGUUGCCAGCAUUAAGUUGGGCACUCUAAUACGACCGCUGGCCUAUAAGGCAGAGGAAGGUGGGGAUGACGUCAAGUCCUCAUGGCCUUUAUAUCUAGGGCAACACACGUGCUACAAUGGGAAGUACAAAUCGCAGCUAGCUUGCAAAAGUACGCUAAUCGCAAAAAACUUCUCUCAGUUCGGAUUGGAGUCUGCAACUCGACUCCAUGAAGCUGGAAUCGCUAGUAAUCGGGGAUCAGCACGCCCCGGUGAAUACGUUCCCGGGCCUUGCACACACCGCCCGU
rnacentral:rRNA from 1 species